AUUGAACGCUGGCGGCAUGCCUUACACAUGCAAGUCGAACGGUAACGCGGGAGCAAUCCUGGCGACGAGUGGCGAACGGGUGAGUAAUACAUCGGAACGUGCCCAGUAGUGGGGGAUAGCGCGGCGAAAGCCGGAUUAAUACCGCAUACAACCUACGGGUGAAAGAGGGGGAUCGCAAGACCUCGCGCUAUUGGGGCGGCCGAUGGGAGAUUAGGUCGUUGGUGGGGUAAAGGACUACCAAGCAUACGAUCUGUAGCUGGUCUGAGAGGACGACCCGACACACUGGGACUGAGACACGGACCAGACUCCGACGGGAGGCAGCAGUGGGGAAUCUUGGACAAUGUGCGCAAGCCUGAUCCAGCCCUGCCGCGUGUGUGAAGAAGGCCUUCGGGUUGUAAAGCACUUUCAGUAUGGAGGAAGCGUUGUGUGUUAAUUGUACACAGCGUUGACGUUACCUACAGAAGAAGCACCGGCUAACUCUGUGCCAGCCGCCGCGGUAACAC
rnacentral:rRNA from 1 species